rnacentral:rRNA from 1 species
AUACGUAGGGUGCGAGCGUUGUCCGGAAUUACUGGGCGUAAAGAGCUCGUAGGUGGUUUGUCGCGUCGUCUGUGAAAUUCCGGGGCUUAACUCCGGGCGUGCAGGCGAUACGGGCAUAACUUGAGUACUGUAGGGGAGACUGGAAUUCCUGGUGUAGCGGUGAAAUGCGCAGAUAUCAGGAGGAACACCGGUGGCGAAGGCGGGUCUCUGGGCAGUAACUGACGCUGAGGAGCGAAAGCAUGGGUAGCGAACAGGAUUAGAUACCCUGGUAGUCCAUGCCGUAAACGGUGGGCGCUAGGUGUAGGGGUCUUCCACGACUUCUGUGCCGUAGCUAACGCAUUAAGCGCCCCGCCUGGGGAGUACGGCCGCAAGGCUAAAACUCAAAGGAAAUGACGGGG